rnacentral:tmRNA from 1 species
GGGGGUGACCGGUUUCGACUUGGGACGGUGGUCCCAGGGGAAGCGGGCCGAGGAUCGGGGUCAUCUCGUUAACGAUCUCCGAAAACCAAUAAGUGCCGAUACCAAUCGCACUAACUUCGCUCUGGCUGCCUGACAGCUAACCGAAGGGUCAGACCACGGGCGCCUUCGCCGUGGACCCUGGCCUCGUCUAGAAGGCUAACCGCCAGCCGGCGUCCGAACGGCUGAGCGGGACACUCAUCGGACUGGGCUGGUUCACGACCCGUCGGCCGGAGCGUGACAGCCAAGUGGAACGACAGACCGACUGCGCCCGGAGAAUACCUGCGACAUUGCUCAAGGACGGGGGUUCGACUCCCCCCACCUCCACGA